GGUGAAGCCAGCCUGACUUGUGUCCUUCCCUUCAUGGUGGUAAUUAUCCAGUUGAUAUUUAUCUUGUUCCAGUCACCUUUAGAAAGCUGUUUGUUUAGGAUCAGGGACCUUUUGCUGUGGAAUCACCAAUGAAUCAAGACCCCUGUGGAAAAUGCAAUUAAUUAAUCAAACUCAAUAACAGCACAAAAGUAACAACUCAGGUGAAAAGAAAACUCACUUAUGUCUUCAAUGUCCAAUCAACAUUGCCAAAUGGGAGAACAGCAAGGGCAGUGACUGGAAGCUGGGAGAGAGGGUCAACAGCUGAAUCUC
rnacentral:lncRNA from 10 species